GGCAUCUGUAAACUGGCCAGUGAGUGGUACUUCCCAGAGUCCUCUGGGUCCAGAGCAAGUUCCCUGAUGAGUGGACAGCUGAGCUCUCCAAUACUCUCCGGACACUGCCUUGGCCCAGAAAUCGCUGGAUGAGUAUGAUGUUGCUUUCCUUUUCAGUGCCAUGUUGAGGGAAGCACAAUUCUGCUGCUGUACCUCCUGGGAAGCAUGUCCUGAGGCCCACCUUACAAGUGAUGCCCCUGCCUCUGCCCUGGCCACCCCAUCAUGGCUCCAUUGAUAUCUGUGUUCCCUCAGUCCAGAACUUUCACCCAAACUCAUAAGAGAAGUGAAUAGAUGGCUGGUUGAAGCACAUGGAAGUCCAUAUACAUCCAAGAAGAGGCUUCUACAAAUUUCACAUGGAUUCUCAGAACCAAAACUACAUUGCCAGAAAAGAUCCACCUUCAUUCUGUCAUGCACAACAGUGUUUACUUGUUCCUUACAAGAAAACAAGGGCAAGCUGUAGACUACAUUUUCAAUGGAUACCUCUCUCCACUGCUGGCUUGGUGUGCUGUUUCAUCCCAGGGACAUUAGAAUCCCUAUUAAAUGGAAACAUCCCUCCCCCUUUUAUUGCUUAAUAACCAAGAAUAAGCUCUCUAUCCAUGAACCUGCUGUCAUCAUCUAGUUAGAUGAAUUCACUAAGAG
rnacentral:lncRNA from 12 species